rnacentral:rRNA from 1 species
GACGAACGCUGGCGGCGUGCUUAACACAUGCAAGUCGAACGGUAAGGCCCUUCGGGGUACACGAGUGGCGAACGGGUGAGUAACACGUGGGUGAUCUGCCCUGCACUUCGGGAUAAGCCUGGGAAACUGGGUCUAAUACCGGAUAGGACCCUGGGAUGCAUGUCCUGGGGUGGAAAGCUUUUGCGGUGUGGGAUGGGUCCGCGGCCUCUCAGCUUGUUGGUGGGGUGGUGGCCUACCAAGGCGACGACGGGUAGCCGGCCUGAGCGGGUGACCGGCGCCACUGCGACUGGAAUACGGCCCGGACUCCUACGGGAAGCAGCAGUGGGGAAGAUUGCACAAUGGGCGCAAGCCUGAUGCAGCGACGCCGCGUGAGGGAUGACGGCCUUCGGGUUGUAAACCUCUUUCAGCACCGACGAAGCGCAAGUGACGGUAGGUGCAGAAGAAGGACCGGCCAACUACGUGCCAGCCGCCGCCGUAA